AACCUGUGACCCGAAGAUGUCUGAAUGGGGAAACCCGCGGCGACACGAGCGCCCAUCCUGUACUGAAUACAUAGGUACAGCGAAGCCGACCUGGGGAAGUGAAACAUCUCAGUACCCAGAGGAAAAGAAAUCAAACGAGACUCCGGUAGUAGUGGCGAGCGAACCCGGAUCAGGCCAAACCGAAGAGAUUCGUCUCUUCGGGGUUGUAGGGCCUCCAUAAAGGUACCAGCAAGGGUAACGGAAGCGCUCUGGAAAGAGCUCCGAGACAGGGUGAUAGGCCCGUACGUGAAACCUGAGCUGGAUCUGGAGGUACCCUGAGUACCACAGGGCACGAGCAACCCGGUGGGGAAUCUGGGAGGACCAUCUUCCAAGCCUAAGUACUCCUGUGCGACCGAUAGUGAACAAGUACCGUGAGGGAAAAGGUGAAAAGCACCCCGGUUAGGGGAGUGAAAUAGUAUCUGAAACCGUCCGCUUACAAGCCGUUCGAGGGGCUAUGCGCAAGCACGCCUGAGAGCGUUCCUUUUGAAUGAUGAGUCCGCGAGUUGCGG
rnacentral:rRNA from 1 species